rnacentral:lncRNA from 1 species
UGCCAAUGACGUAGAUGUCAUGAGGAAUGUAGUCAGCGGUGUCAUCUCGGGUCUUCCCCUGCCCCUUGGAGAGAAACCAGGAGGUGAUCUUCUUUGGGGGAGGAGCAGCGCCCAUGUUCCAGGUCCCAAUGAAGACGGUGAUCAUAUCAGGCUCUGGUUGCUCAGAGUGUUUAUUCUUCAUCUGCUGCAGAAGCUGGCAGAACCCUUCUCUCUUCUUGGAAUCAGAAAAAACAUAUUCC